GUAUUAUUUAAUGUUUGAUCAAUCACUUUUUUUUGGUUCCAGCCAAGAAGGGGAAAGACUUUGGAGGAUACAGACUCUGGCAGGAGGCAGCAGUCUUCUUCCUGGAGACUUGAGGCCUGAGGUCAGCAGCCAACUGCUCAGAAGAAGUACUGUGGCCUUGGCUGGCUUAUUCAAGAGGAAAGGCUCAAUGACAAGACCUUCAUAUAUUUUCUGCUUUGUUAUAGCAACAAGUGAAAAAUGAAACCCAACCAUCCCUCCAUAUCAUCUAAAGGAAUAAUUUGAUGGUCUUUGCUGGUCCUGUAGCAGAGUGAAGCAUUGCUAUAAAGAGCACAAUCCUGUGGGAUCAUUGAUUUAAA
rnacentral:lncRNA from 1 species